rnacentral:rRNA from 1 species
GGGCNGGGAAUUCGAUUGUKUGAUCCUGGCUCAGGAUGACGCUGGCGGCGUGCCUAACACAUGCAAGUCGAGCGAAACUUUGCUUAGAUUCUUCGGAUGAAGAGGAUUGUGACUGAGCGGCGGACGGGUGAGUAACGCGUGGGUAACCUGCCUCAUACAGGGGGAUAACAGUUAGAAAUGACUGCUAAUACCGCAUAAGACCACAGCACCGCAUGGUGGGGGGGUAAAAACUCCGGUGGUAUGAGAUGGACCCGCGUCUGAUUAGCUAGUUGGUAAGGUAACGGCUUACCAAGGCGACGAUCAGUAGCCGACCUGAGAGGGUGACCGGCCACAUUGGGACUGAGACACGGCCCAAACUCCUACGGGAGGCAGCAGUGGGGAAUAUUGCACAAUGGGGGAAACCUGAUGCAGCGACGCCGCGUGASAAGGAAGUAUUUCGGUAUGUAAGCUCUAUCAGCAGGAAGAAAAU